ACGGUACAACGAGAAGCGAACCUGCGAAGGCAAGCGGAUCUCUUAAAGCCGUUCUCAGUUCGGACUGUAGGCUGCAACUCGCCUACACGAAGCUGGAAUCGCUAGUAAUCGCGGAUCAGCACGCCGCGGUGAAUACGUUCCCGGGCCUUGUACACACCGCCCGUCAAGCCAUGGGAGUCGGGAGUGCCUGAAGUUCGUGACCGUAUAGGAGCGACCUAGGGCAAGACUGAUGACUGGGGCUAAGUCGUAACAAGGUACC
rnacentral:rRNA from 1 species